UCCCCGGUCCGGCCCGGCCCUGCCGAGCCCUGCCUUGCCCUCCGGUCCUUCUCGGUGCGGAGCAGCUGCUGCUCCCGGGGGCUUGGGGUCAGGAAAGUUUCCGUGUGGGCCCGCAGCCGCUGCCCUGAGGGUUCCUAGAGCCGCCGGCUCUCGGCAGAAGUUUUGUAAAAUACUCCAAGAAGAAGGACGGAGGGAGCUUCCAGGGAGGUACCUGACCCGCAGGAACCCACCUCAAGCUCAGCACUGCCCUUCCCGCACCAUCACCAGCACCAGCCGUGCCCCUGAGCCUCCCGCCUGCCCUGCCACAGCCUCCUAGAGAAAAGAAAGCCCGGGAAGAGGAGAUAAUGUCACUGUCAGUAUUAAUCAGACACAUUCAGUCUGUGAUAGAUGACACCUCUUCAAACCACCCAGCUACCUACCCACUACAUUCCUCUGCAUUUAUCUCAUGGAGAACUGAAGAAUUGCCACACCAAACCAAGAGGAAAAAUAAUUCCUGAUUUUGAAGUUAAUUAAAUGGCUGAGAGUCAGCAAAUCUCCAUGUGUCCCAACCCUGAGC